rnacentral:rRNA from 1 species
CAGCAGCCGCGGGAAUACGUAGGGUGCGAGCGUUAAUCGGAAUUACUGGGCGUAAAGCGAGCGCAGACGGUUAUUUAAGCAGGAUGUGAAAUCCCCGGGCUUAACCUGGGAACUGCGUUCUGAACUGGAUAGCUAGAGUGUGUCAGAGGGGGGUAGAAUUCCACGUGUAGCAGUGAAAUGCGUAGAGAUGUGGAGGAACACCGAUGGCGAAGGCAGCCCCCUGGGCCAAUACUGACGCUCAUGCACGAAAGCGUGGGGAGCAAACAGGAUUAGAUACCCGGGUAGUCCCUGUCUCUUAUAC